UACGAAGGGGGCUAGCGUUGUUCGGAAUUACUGGGCGUAAAGCGCACGUAGGCGGAUCGAUCAGUCAGGGGUAAAAUCCCAGGGCUCAACCCUGGAACUGCCUUUGAUACUGUCGAUCUGGAGUAUGGAAGAGGUGAGUGGAAUUCCGAGUGUAGAGGUGAAAUGCGUAGAUAUUGGGAGGAACACCAGUGGCGAAGGCGACUCGCUGGACCGGUUCUGACGCUGAGGCGCGAAAGCGUGGGGAGCAAACAGG
rnacentral:rRNA from 1 species